AUGAAAAGCUGGAUUUGCGCGGAUCAAUUAAAGAAGUUGAUCCGUUUGAACAGUACAGUGCGCAAACCAGUAAAAUCAGUUGUAAAUCUGAGUUUAAAGUUCAAUAAAUGAAGAAAGUGAGUAGAAGAAGAAAUAUGAAGAAAUUGAUGCAAUUCAGCUCUGAAUCUGAUGAAAUUUCUUAAAUUCUUGUAUCUCUAAUCCAAGCAAUCGAUCUCCCGCUCUGAUACCACUUUACUUGUGGAUUCUUUUUUGAAUCGAAUUCGUAGCACCGAUGACUGCGAAUAUCUCGUAUCACGUGCGGAAUCCGUGUACGAGAGUGGAUCAGACACAAUAACGUAAUUAAAUGUUGAUUCUAUUGAUUAUGUAACAGUUAAAAGCACCUUGAAUCAAGCAGCCUUGAGUUCCCUCUCAAAUGGCAAAAAGUUCUCAAAUGUUAAGACAUGUCUUCUAUUUAUAGAGUGAUGUCCAUCCUCUCAAACUAGCAUGUCCAUUCGUGAGGAUGGACUCCAUUUCGUUAGGAUGGACUCCAAACUACAAAUGGACAUUAUGUUUAACAUGAAAACACUUCUAAACCUAGUCUUGAACAUUUUUCGGCUACGAUACGUGAUUGACGGAAGCGAGACAUACUGCACUCACAGUUUCUAUUUCACAUAAAAAGUUGCCGCAAAAUGACAAAAAAUGGAAAAGCGAAGAAAAAUCAAGAAAAAAAGUCAAGUUGCAGCUUAAGACACGAGUCAUGCCUACAUGAAGCGCGCCGUGAUUGAUCCUCAAGUCAUGAAAAAGUAGUGAUCUUCUCAAGACAAGAGAAAAUGGUGCCCCCCUUAGCAAACUAAAAGUCAACAAUACAGCUAGAAAAGCCCAACACUACGUAGAAGCAUAUCUCGUUCUAGGAAAUGAGUUACGGGGACUAUAACAUAUGCAUCUUGAUUGUUUAACUGAGAGGAAGCUAAAAAAUAGUUUUCAUGUUCAAAUUCAUGAGACACGGGCCGUACCUCCGGUAGAAAACGACAAAAACGCGUUUUUGGCCUGAAACACCCGAGACACGACCCAUGCCUCACAAACGCAGGUUGUGCCUAGAAAAAGACGCCAUAAAUAUUCCCAGAAAAUUUU
rnacentral:lncRNA from 1 species